rnacentral:rRNA from 1 species
UACGUAGGCAGCGAGCGUUGUUCGGAAUCACUGGGCGUAAAGCGCACGUAGGCGGAUUGUUAAGUCGGGGGUGAAAUCCUGAGGCUCAACCUCAGAACUGCCUCCGAUACUGGCAAUCUCGAGUUCGGAAGAGGUUGGUGGAACAGCUAGUGUAGAGGUGAAAUUCGUAGAUAUUAGCUAGAACACCAGUGGCGAAGGCGGCCAACUGGUCCGACACUGACGCUGAGGUGCGAAAGCGUGGGGAGCAAACAGG